AAGUCGUAACAAGGUUUCCGUAGGUGAACCUGCGGAAGGAUCAUUAACGAAUAACUAUGGUGUCUUGGUUGUCGCUGGCUCCUCGGAGCAUCGUGCACGCCCGCCAUUUUUAUCUAUCCACCUGUGCACCGAAUGUAGGUCUGGAUGACUCUCGUCUCCGGGCGGAUGCGAGGUUUGCGUGUGCGUAGCGCGUUCGCGCGCGUUGCGUACGGGCUCACCUCGAAUUUCCAGACUCUACGUCUUUUUACACACCCCAAACGUAUGAUGCAGAAUGUAGUCAAUGGGCCUUUAAAAGCCUAUAAAACACUAUACAACUUUCAGCAACGGAUCUCUUGGCUCUC
rnacentral:misc_RNA from 1 species